rnacentral:rRNA from 1 species
CCUACGGGAGGCAGCAGUGAGGAAUAUUGGUCAAUGGACGAGAGUCUGAACCAGCCAAGUAGCGUGAAGGAUGACUGCCCUAUGGGUUGUAAACUUCUUUUAUAUGGGAAUAAAACGUUCCACGUGUGGGAUUUUGUAUGUACCAUAUGAAUAAGGAUCGGCUAACUCCGUGCCAGCAGCCGCGGUAAUACGGAGGAUCCGAGCGUUAUCCGGAUUUAUUGGGUUUAAAGGGAGCGUAGGUGGAUUGUUAAGUCAGUUGUGAAAGUUUGCGGCUCAACCGUAAAACUGCAGUUGAAACUGGCAGUCUUGAGUACAGUAGAGGUGGGCGGAAUUCGUGGUGUAGCGGUGAAAUGCUUAGAUAUCACGAAGAACUCCGAUUGCGAAGGCAGUUCACUGGACUGCAACUGACACUGAGGCUCGAAAGUGUGGGUAUCAAACAGGAUUAGAUACCCUUGUAGUC